UACGUAGGGGUCCAAGCGUUUAAUCGGAAUUACUGGGCGUAAAGCGUGCGCAGGCGGCUUUGCAAGUCAGACGUGAAAUCCCCCGGGCUUAACCUGGGAAUGGCGUUUGAAACUACGGAGCUGGAGUGUGGCAGAGGGAGGUAGAAUUCCACGUGUAGCGGUGAAAUGCGUAGAUAUGUGGAGGAAUACCGAUGGCGAAGGCAGCCUCCUGGGCCGAACACUGACGCUCAUGCACGAAGCGUGGGGAGCAAACAGG
rnacentral:rRNA from 1 species